rnacentral:rRNA from 1 species
GACGGAGGGUGCUAGCGUUGUUCGGAAUUACUGGGCGUAAAGGGCGCGUAGGCGGCCGCUCAAGUCGGGUGUGAAAGCCCGGGGCUCAACCCCGGAACUGCACUCGAGACUGGGUGGCUGGAGAUCGGAAGAGGAGAGUGGAACACCCAGUGUAGAGGUGAAAUUCGUAGAUAUUGGGUAGAACACCGGUGGCGAAAGCGGCUCUCUGGUCCGAUUCUGACGCUGAGGCGCGAAAGCGUGGGGAGCAAAC